UUACGAUCAUAUCACGUUGAAACACCAAUUCCCAUACGAUCACCGAAUUUAAGCAACGUCGUGCCUGGUCAGAAUGGUGACCUCAUGGGAAUACCAAGAGCUGUAAG